GACGAACGCUGGCGGCGUGCUUAACACAUGCAAGUCGAACGGAAAGGCCCUGCUUUUGUGGGGUGCUCGAGUGGCGAACGGGUGAGUAACACGUGAGUAACCUGCCCUUGACUUUGUGAUAACUUCAGGAAACUGGGGCUAAUACCGGAUAGGAGCUCCUGCUGCAUGUUGGGGGUUGGAAAGUUUCGGCGGUUGGGGAUGGACUCGCGGCUUAUCAGCUUGUUGGUGGGGUAGUGGCUUACCAAGGCUUUGACGGGUAGCCGGCCUGAGAGGGUGACCGGCCACAUUGGGACUGAGAUACGGCCCAGACUCCUACGGGAGGCAGCAGUGGGGAAUAUUGCACAAUGGGCGGAAGCCUGAUGCAGAAACGCCGCGUGCGGGAUGACGGCCUUCGGGUUGUAAACCGAUUUCGCCUGUGACGAAGCGUGAGUGACGGUAAUGGGUAAAGAAGCACCGGCUAACUACGUG
rnacentral:rRNA from 1 species